rnacentral:tRNA from 1 species
CGGCCCAAGACGUCAUCAUCCUUGGCAAGAUGGCCGAGUUGGUCUAAGGCGUUAGACGUCAGUACUCCCAUACAAUUCCAUUUUCAGAAUCAAUUACUAACUCCCACAUAGUCAAGAGAACCUUCUCUUCGCUGUUAAACAGUGAGCAUUCUAAUCUCGCAAGAGGCACGGGUUCGAAUCCCGUUCUUGUCAA